AGCAAUCUGACAAUGUUUUAGAACUAUGGCAAAUGGACUGAGAGGGUUUGUUCACAGAUAGCAUCAGAGCUAUUACCAGGUGCCAAACCCAGUUGGAUCUGCUGAGGAAACCUCAUCAGUAAUCAUGGAUGCUGCAUCCUGCAGACCUGGUCUGUGAGUGGGAGCAGCACAGAAUUCAUCCUGAGAAGAGUGGAGGUGCAGGGCCUGUCACUUGAAAAGGUACUCUCAGGAAAGACCAGAGAUGGGUUGAGGUACAGCUAACUCUCUAACUGUGACAUCUGCCUUGGGAGACCUUUUAACCUUUAGAGGACAGGUUGCCCCAAUCCCAUCUCCCCUUUUCCUUGUCACAUUUGUAUUUCCAUUUCCUCCUUACCCCUACCCAUUUUUGCAUAUCCCAGUACACCUGUUGUACAAUCCCCAUCUAUGUGCACAGCUAUGGAGGUUCCCUCAGUGCACUGGAGGUUGGUUCUAGUGGGUGUCACCAGUCAGAGAGCUCCUGGACUAUAGCUGGCAGGGUUGGGUAGACCCUGCAAUGAUCACCCUGUGCAUGGGGCUGCUCCCCCACAUGUUCCUCUCUGUGUGCUUGAGGAGGUGAAGACUAUCCAGUUCCUUGCAGAUCCUGGGAAGGAGUCCUCUGAAGCUUGACAUUAGGUCCCUGUCCUAUGAGCUCUCCUAGUUGCUUGCAAUUAAUUCACAUAGGCCAGCUUUCAUUCCAUGUUGCUUACAAAGCCUGCUUGGGACAUAAGUGGGUGCCACCUUCACAUAGCUGUGAGGUAUGGUUUACAAUCUCCUGCCACCUGCCAUUUCUGCAGUAACUCGGAGAGGAAACCAUGGAGCAUGCUUCAUUCCUUAAAUCACACAUGCGGGCAGAGUUCCUUUAAGCAUUGUCCACUGAUUUCUUAGAGUCUGUCUCCAAACAGUGGGCAUUAUCCAGAGUUCUCUGCUUGGUGGCCUCCUCUGGUUCCAUCAUUCUGACCCUAUGACCUGCACUCCGGUUCUUGCAUACUUUGUCCCCCAUAAUUAAUUGUUCCUUGCUCCUCUAUAGCUUGCCUCUCCCUACCUUUUGUCGAGGUGUGGUUAAAUGUGUUUGUUGAGGGAGGAGCCCCUUUGGCCCCACCCAUCCCUACAGGGAUCACAUAGUCUGGCAAUUUCAUGAGCAGUCAGUUCACAUUAUAUUAAAAAAAAAAUCCAUUGUUACCAGAAUACCAGGAUUAUCGAAGAGAACAACGUGCCAUACUGAAAUUACAAAUGGAUGAUUUUUAGUGAACAGCCUACUUUUACAAAAGAAACCUAUUACAUCAUAUGUAUUUAUUUUGUGGUUCAUGACGAUAAUUAGUUCAGCACUCUUGUUAGAUAUGUUACAAAAACACUCAAGAAGAUGGAAAUUACUCCGCAGUUCACCAGCAUGAAAAGCCAUCUGGGCUAGUUGUCUUCCAGACUAUCUUCCUACUGUGUUAACUCUACCCACAAAUUAUAACUCAAUAAUAAGGAACAUGGUGGGGCAGUGAAAGUGACUUCAAAAAAAAAAAGCCCCAUUAAUCACAGUAGCAGCCAAGAUACAUUCAAUGUGAAAGUUAAAGUUUAAACCUGUAGGGUCAGAUUCUGCCAAGCUGAGUAGUGCCUUACUGCAUGAGGAAAGAAAUGCAACUUCUCCCAGAGGGAGAUACUACUUAACAUGAAUAAUGGGGGCAGAAUCUGGGCCAUCCUCAAGUGAAUUAUAUUUCAGUCUGCUGGAUGGGUGCCUGUUGGCAUGUUUACAAAUUGAAAUAAAUAAACUAUAGACCAAUUUGUUAUUAAAAGUGCAGUCAGACUUAUCUGAUGCCAUUUACCUCCUCUAUGGCUGUAUUGUGACUAUUCUGAAGAUUAAAUAACAGAUGUGAAGGAAACAUUUAGUUUUUUGCCAGAUCAUUUUUCAGUAACCAAUAAUUCCUUACUUUAGUACUCAUUUAAUGGUCUCACCUUCUUUUUUUGUCCAAUAAAGUUAAUGAAUCUCUUAUUGCUUUUCUAAAUAAGCUUAGCUAAAUUAUUCAUUUUUCCUGUUUGUGAAUACAUUCUUUACAUCCUAUAAAAAUUAACAAUGCUACAAUAUUUUGAUUGCUGUGACUAAAGAGCUUUGAUUUUACUGGCAAUUAACUUUAACUACUUAUCACAUGUUCACACUGGUCUUGAAGGUCAGUUCAGUUUUGUGUGGCAGGAAACACUCCUCUUGAAUCAACUCUGCUAUCACUUUACCAUUUAAAUGCCUGCUAAUGUUGCCAGUUCAUUUAACUUCAGUUAACCCUCAAAUUUAACCUUUUAAAGAAAUUUAAUUAAAUCUUUUUGUGCACCCCAAAUUUUUCCACUGGUUAAAAUUGAGAACUGUAUUGAACUGUGAUCACUAUUUCCCAAAUCAUCCUCACUAGGUGUUUUAUUUAGCAUAUCUUCAUUGGCUCAUAUUUAGUCCAAAAUGGCUAGUUGACUCAAAGACAUAACUAAUUUUAGAAAAUAGAUUCUCUACAAUACAACUUCUAUUCUAUUCCUACUGAUCUGUGAUAAACUUCUAAAUGCGACUCCUAGCCUGCUGGGAUUAACUAUCUUUAGUGUCUCUUAUAAGAUUUCAGGGCUUUCUUUAGUAAAGAUUUCCUAUAAAAACACUUGACCUUUGUCCCUUAAUACUUCAGUCUAAACUGCCUCAACAAUUCCUCUUAUUGAAACAACAACAAAAACCCCAAACCACCCCUAUCCCUCAGCUGUAAUUUAUCAUCACUAUCAUAGACUGCAGUUUCACACCCUUCCUCCUGUGUCUCAUUAAUAUUUUCAAAUAUCUAACCUAACUCUAUCCAUCAUCCACCUAAUUUAGUAAUUCCUAUAGGGUGAACCAUGUCGGCUCCUGCACUGGUACACUAGUAGGAGGAAAGGGUGCAGGUAUCCUGGAUUCAUCCUCAGGAAUGAGGUAAAAAAGAGGUGUGCCUUCUAGCGAUGUUACUGGGUGACCUCAAUAGCAGUCACACCUGUAACUGACAGCAGAAUUGAACAGCAUAGCUUUUGUAUUCCCAAUCCCAAGGGGAUGAAUAGAAUAAAAAAAAAAAACACACUUAAGAAUGUUUCUUAAUUUUUGGCUUCCACAAAUAGUGAAAACUGUAUAUGGCACUUGAGAGGAAAUCACUUACCACCAAUUUCCUUCAAAAAGCAAGAAGUCUGCCCUUUCACAUAUAGUUUCCAGUUAGAGAAAAUAAAUUGGAGUACAGACAAAACAUUUGCUUCAAUGAAUUACAACAGCAUUUGAUAGUAGUUACAACCUUCAGAUAAGUCAGGUUUGGUCAGCUAGGUCACCUACAGUAUAUAUUUCACAGAGUCUUUUGCUGCAACUGUAAAGUUAUUUAAUUUAUUUUUGAGAGGAAAAAAGCAAUUUGACCUAUCUAAACUGAUAUAACCCCUGGUGGGAGAAAUGCUUAAUAAGUUUAUCAGUUACCUAGGGGAGCAGAUGAUGGGAAUAGAAUAAAUAGGAAUCACAUUUAAAAUUGAGUUCACCUUUGAUGCAUGUACUUUUGUUUAGUUUAUUUAAGUUUUACACAUCUUUCUAGAGAUGUUACACAAUACAAUAUAAUGAAGAUAAACUCUUUGGCCCUCAUUGAGUCUCAUUUCUUUUAAGGCCCCUUUAAAAUGCUAGAGAAGUGUAAAUGGAUAUUAAUGAGAAUUAGAAUCAGUCCCUUUAUCUUAAAAUUAAGGGUUUGGGGGGGGGUUUAAUUUACAUUUAUAAAGCAUAUUUCCUGCCAAAAUGCUUUUCAGCAUGUAUAACACACCACUGCUGAAAUACAUAACAGCUGGAGAGGAAAACAGGAGACACAUGGAGCAUAAUAUAACUUAAGUAAAAGAAGAAAAAGUUUUGGGCAAGGAAAUUGGGGUAAACCAUUAAUCUUAGGAAAGGGCUUAUGAGAUCUUUGAAAUCCACAUAGUAAAGACAGGGCUGCAGCUUUAAGGUCUCAUAAAAGACCAAAAUAUAUUAAAUUGCAUGCCAGUUUAGUCUGUCACCUCAGAAGGAGUAAGGGCUAAGUCAGUCCUGUCAGGAUUUGAACCUAUAGUUCAAGGGAGUGUGGUGAUCCUUAGACUGCUGCUUUAUCACUUUAUAUUAUAGCUGCAUAAAUCAUUUUAUCAGACCAAAUAACAAACAUUAAUAUACUCUUACAUCUAAAUCCUUAAUCAUAAAAAGAGUUUUCAGGCAGAGUCCUCAAUCAAUAGAGGAUUUUUUCUUAGAGUCCUGUGUAUAAAAAAAAGUUCAUAUCAUUGUGUAGCUAAUCUUUUUGCAUAUCUACCUUUAUAUCUAUCCCUCCAUUCAUCUGUCCAAUUCAAUCCAAAUCCUAAUAACUGGGUCAGUUUUUUGCAGUGGCUUCUUGGUGAAUUAGAAAAUGAAAAAGCAGACAACAUUCUCCUCCCCCCAAAAAAAACCCCAAAAACAAAAGAAAACACAAACCAACCAACCAAACACCAUUCAAUCAUAUUUGGUUUUGGUGAAUAAAUAUUUUACUUGGUGAGGGGACUGCGUUUUUCACCAGCUUUCUCAACCUAAAGCAUUUUUUAAAAUCUUUCAUUUUCUCCCAUUCACUGGAGGGAAUCAAACUGGUUAACCCUAGCAUUCUAAUACAAAUAUAAUAUAAAAGUUGUCAAUAUUUUCAAUGUAUAGAUGAAUGUGAGCAAACACUUUUAUGCUCAGAAAUGAUUAUCAAACAAUUAAUAUUCUAAUAAAUAUAUGAGAAAUGCCGGAGUCUCUUUCUACUCUGUACUGUGCCUCAGAAAGGAGAAAGUAAUAGUUGCGCUUUUACUUAAUCCACACUGGAAUAGCUAUAUGGAAGUGACAGCAGUUCUCUUUACUUCUGCAUUUGCUUUUUAAGGAUUUCUUUCAUCUAUUACAUGACAUAGAAUUCUUUGGACCAAGAAAUAUAGGUCCUGAUUCUCCAUAGCCCUGCACUUUGUGUAGUCAUUUACACCAAGGUGAGGUGAUUGCACAGUGGAUGUAAAAUACUAUCAGAUCAGAAUGGUACCAUUUAACACCCAUUUUGCCCUGGUGUAAAUGUGAGUCAGACCUAUAGGAGGCAGAAGGUUCCUCCAAAUUCUCUUUACAGAGUACCCUAGGAAGCAUUCCUCAAGUCAGAGAAGGUUUGGGAGACUGGAAAUUUUGCAGGGAGACAGGCCUUCCAGGCUCAGAGAUCCACAAAGUUUAUGACAAAGGGACUCCUCCUCAGCUCUGCAAAGGUUAAAGCUAUCCUGUAUAUACUACCGCUCCUUUAAGCUGGUUCCCCCAUCCCUAUGGCUCCAGUUUGCCACAAACAGUUUGCUAAGCAAUGCUCUAAUUGAUUGCAGUGGAUCUUACAGAAUUGAUCAGUAAUGGCCACAUUUCUAAUUUGUUCCAUUCCCCUCUCUUAUGGCUCUUUCCUUUGAUAACCUAAUGAAAGGAAAGCAGUAGCUAGGAGACAAUUAUAAGCAGGAGCACAUUAGGCAAGUCUGCAUAUUUUCCCCUUUGUGAAUAGUAUGUUUUGAGUUCACAAACAUUCCCCUCUGACUCAAUACAUGUAAUACUGAGGAAUACUGAUGACAGUAUAAACCCGCUCCAGCUGAAACUUGCUCCAGCUGAAAUGAUAUUGACGUGAUGCCAAAAUUUUAACACAUUACCCUUAAAUUGUUCUACCUUAAUCUGUGAUGCUGUUGUUCAUCAUUGUACUGUGAUAGUGCUUAGCUGCCCCACUCAUGGAUCUGGGAUACAUACUAGGCAUAAUAGAAACAUAUAACAAAGAGAUUCCACCUUGAAGAGCUUACAAUCUAAGUAGCACAAUCUGUAACCAGCAAUAUAUAUGACAUCCCCUCAGUA